rnacentral:lncRNA from 1 species
AAGCCUAUUGUCUGGGCUUUUUGUCUUGUUCUAUGUCUUCAGAGCUUGGCUUUGUGACCUUUCUGAUCUCCGCCAUUGGAGGAUGCAUGUACCGGCACGCAUCUUGGCGACCAGUCAAGUAGACUGGGGUUCCGUGAAAAUUAAAUGUCUUGAGAGCUCGGCUCUCUUUGUCCGCCUGUGUUAGCUCUCUGGGGAGUUUGUCAUAAGAGGUCCCAAUUGCAUAAGGGGCCUUUGUCAUCUCAACCUUUGUUGCUUGCCUUUACUUUCUUAGGCUAUUUUUGGGAGUGAAUUUUCUGGAUCUCUUUUGGGGAUGCCUCUUUGUCCUUGGUUAAGCUUUGUUUGAGUUCCUGUUAAGAUCCUACUUGUCAAUUUGGCCAGACGAUGGAUCAUUUAAAUUCGGAAAACUUCUAAAUUGGGGAAAAAAUUGUGAGAGCUCUCAUCAUAAUUUUUAUUGGUAUCUAUGAAAAAAAGCUAAAUUAAAAAGGAAACACAAGAAAAUGGCAACUAGGUUUAAACCCUGAUUCGGGUUAUAAUUGAAUUGGUGAAAUAUAAAGGUCUAAGUGUUGAUAAGAUUAUAAAUGUUGGAAUUCUUGAGCUGAUUUUCUUUUUAUAAAGAGGUUAUAUCAACUUUGCCUGAGUAUGUUUUAAAACGUCUUUCUGGGAAUGCUUCCUUAUGCAAUAUUAUUAGACUAAGACCUGUUAAGUCCUGGCCAUGGGUCCUGUUGCCAUGCUGCAGCUCUUCACUGCCCAUAGGCCCUGUCCCCACGCUAUUUGAAUAGAGGAGCGCUACUUCCAGACCUUGAGUCCAGGAAGUCUUUCUUUUGACUCCUUGGCUUGCUGAGCCCGCUUGCUUCACCAGCUUGCUGGAUUGCGAUCCCUUCCUCUGGCACCUGACCACUCUCUGAACUGCAGGAAAGUCCCAAUCGAGACUCCAGUUCAAGAGAGAUUCAUAAAAAGGACUCUGACGCUUACUCUGGAAUACAGUUUUCUGAUAAACUUUCAGAUGGUAGAACUGAACUCUGGUUAAGAAAUUACAGAAAUCUAAUGGAGAAACUGAUGACCUCAUAAAACUGCUAACAGAAGAUUAAGAUCAAGAACUGAUUAUACAGGACUGAAUGAACUGAGGAUGAUUAUAAUUUUUAUGACUUUUAUUUGAAAUAUUGCUGAUUUUUGAUGUUUUGUUUUCUCAGAUUGAAGGAAAUCUUUUUCUCUUGUUCUUGUGCUAACUAUCACUUAGCAAUUUGGUGAAAUUAUAACUUUGUGUGCAAACUGAAACAUUUAUCUUUUUCUCCCUACCUGAUCCCUCCAGACUUUGGAAACUCUUUGUGAGUAUGGUUAUUUCAUGGCAAUAUAGUGACAAAUAAAAAUGGCAAGCAAUAGGAUAUAUUGGAGAAUAUGAGGAAGCCAUUUGGUAUAAACCUAAUUCAGCCUGACCUUGUCUUUCCAAAAGGGCCUGACUGUGGCCGUUGAGCAUGCAUUGUAUAUCUGCUUUAGAUUUUCCCUAUGGCAAGAACAAAGGCCCUUGAGGUAAAGGUGCAACUUCCCUGCCCCUCCCAACGUUGGUGUCUCCUUAAGGAUUAAGCAUCUUUCCUUAGGCUAGGAACUGAUUCCUGCACUCACCUGUGACUGCCCAGCUCGAGACAGUAGACUUGCCUCCUGCUACGCCCAUCAAGAUAGCAGACCCACUACCUGCUGUGUUCAUCAAGUGCUGUGCCGACAGGGCAAUCUUGUGACUAUUGGGGGAGGGACUUUUCAAUCACAU